UACUUUGGCAACGGUCAGUAAAUAAUCGAUUAUGUUAUAUAGGAUAAUCGAUUAUUGACCUCUGCGGAAUAAUUUGAAUAAAGAGGAUAAUCGAUUAUCAUUUUACAUAAUCGAUUAUUUUGCUGUUUUGUAAAUUCCGGUUGUACACUGUCUUAACAUAAUCGAUUAUCAAAAAGACAUAAUCGAUUAUUUUGCUGUUUUGUAAAUUCCGGUUUACACUGUCUUAACAUAAUCGGUUGUACACUGUCUUAACAUAAUCGAUUAUCAAAAAGACAUAAUCGAUUAUUUUGCUGCUUUGUAAAUUACGGUUGUACAUUGUCUUAACAUAAUCGAUUAUCAAAAAGACAUAAUCGAUAAUUUUGCUGUUUUGUAAAUUCUGGUUUACAGUAUCUUAACAUAAUCGAUUAUAAGAAAAACAUAAUCGAUUAUUUCUGUCCAGAUUUGAAAGAC
rnacentral:lncRNA from 1 species